rnacentral:lncRNA from 7 species
CAGAGAGAAGAAUAACAGAACAAUGCUGUACUUGGCAGAGCAGAGCAAUCCGUAGUCUGUCUUCAUUCAAGCCUACAGAAGAGAAGGCUCCAGGCAGCGCUUACACUACGUUGAGGACUGUUUAACUUCCCAUAGCGUCCUGCAAGUGAGGAGGUUAGAGGUGCACAAGAAGAUGGGAGAGGGCCCACAUCUGACCGAAACUGGGAGACUUAUGGUCAUAAGAGAUCUGUGUACUCUGCUCCUUUGUCUUAUUAUUUCAGAUUUGGAACUGUGGCAUCCUUUCUAUGUCAGUCAAAAAAUACAGCACAGACUCACCUCAUUCACAUCCUUACCAUACCAGCAGCAUUUCAAAUGUAAUUCAAGUUCAGUGAGACUGACUUUGCAGAGGUAACCUCGUUAUUGUGUGUUGGAUUUCAAGUAUUAAUUCAUACUGUAUGUUGGAGUACGGAUGUUCAUACUGUGUAUUGGACUUUAUUAUGAAAUAAUUGAUGAAAUAUCUGUAGAAAUGAAAAUUAGAGUUUUGUAUGAACAGCUUCAGAUAAAACAAGAAUAAAGCCUGUGUGACACCUUAUUGAUGAAUAGGCAUUGUUCCAGCUGUAAGCCUUGGGGGAAAUUUCAAUCUCAGCAAACAGAUGAUGAAUGGUCAAUGUCAUCUGAUUGUUUUUGUAUGUGAAAGAUCAAAAUGGUAAGGCGCAGUACAAGAGUGAACUACAAAAAUGUUGUUAUCAGAAAUACAUUUUCAAGUAAAUAUUCACUGAGUACCAGGGAGACCUCUUUCCCCCUUUCCUCUGUGGUGAGGCACUCAGCCAACCAUCUAACCUAGUGAGCUUAAGUGAUUUAAAUAGCUUAGAACAAUAGUAGAUAUAUGUUAUCAGGUGUACCUGCUCAUGGUUUAUAAAGUGCCAUCCAGUUCCUCCUUAUGGGGCAGAACAACAUAGUUCCCUUCAGAUUGGAUGUACUGACUUGAAAAAAGGCAUGUUCUGAAAGGAGACAUGUCUAGUCCUCAAGGUCAAAGUAUUGAGGUGGCAAAAUUCACUAAUGAGUGAAAAGGUCUCUUGGUCUCAACAUACAAUGAAUACAUGGGUUCAUAGAUAACUUUUAGCAACUGGGUCAGACAAAAUACCCAGUGAGAUAUCCUGAUGUGAUGACAGGGAAAUGUGAGACUGGUAUGCAGUGUAGAUUUGGCUGUUAGCCUCCUUGAGGUAAGAGAUUCAACUAAAUGUAACCAACCUCACAUUUAAUGAUUACUUGACGCUUUAGCUUUCCUUUGGCAAAAAUUAGUCUUCUAUUUCUAUAAUAAAUUACUACAAAUCUGAU